rnacentral:tmRNA from 1 species
CAAACGCUGACUAAGCAUGUAGCUGCCUUAAGCUGAAGCUUGCUCGGACGCGGGUUCGAUUCCCGCCACCUCCAUUU